rnacentral:misc_RNA from 1 species
GGAAGUAAAAGUUGUAACAAGGUUUCCGUAGGUGAACCUGCGGAAGGAUCAUUUUUGUAUAACCGAGGUGCGAGGGCUGUCGCUGACCCGAAAGGUCGUGCACGCCCGAGUGCCCUCACGCACAUCCAUCUCACCCCUAUGUGCACCACCGCGUGGGUCCCCCUUUGGCUUGUUCGGAGGGGGGCUUACGUUUUCACACAAACUUUGUAUGCAGUGUAGAAUGUAUUUUUUGUUUUUGCGAUCACGCAAUCAAUACAACUUUCAACAACGGAUCUCUUGGCUCUC